UAUGGAUAUCUAUGUUAUGGA
rnacentral:piRNA from 1 species